CCUACGGGUGGCAGCAGUGGGGAAUAUUGCGCAAUGGGCGAAAGCCUGACGCAGCGACGCCGCGUGAGGGAUGAAGGUCUUCGGAUCGUACACCUCUGUCAGCAGGGAAGAACGGUCACUUUGCUAAUCAGCAGUGCAUUGACGGUACCUGCAAAGGAAGCACCGGCUAACUCCGUGCCAGCAGCCGCUGUAAUACGGAGGGUGCGAGCGUUAAUCGGAAUUACUGGGCGUAACGCGAGAGGAGGAGGGAGGUCAAGUCAAGGGUGAAAUCCCCGGGCUCAACGUGGGAAAUGCAUUUGAAACUGGCAAACUGGAGUGUGUGAGAGGAUAGUGGAAUUCCAGGUGUAGGAGUGAAAUCCGUAGAUAUCUGGAGGAACAUCAGUGGCGAAGGCGACUAUCUGGAACAUAACUGACGCUGAGGAGCGAAAGCGUGGGUAGCAAACAGGAUUAGAUACCCGGGUAGUC
rnacentral:rRNA from 1 species